CUUGCAUGCACCAUACAUUGUUGCUGUAUGCUAGGUUAGAUGUUUCUUGCCGUGAAAUGCUAUGCAUGCUUUGUUUAUGUAUGUGAUUCUUGCAGUGAAUUGCUAUGUAUGCCAUGUUUAUGAA